rnacentral:rRNA from 1 species
UACUUAGUGGCAGACGGGUGAGUAACAUGUGGGUAUUUACCCUUUGGCCUGGAAUAACACGAGGAAACUUGUGCUAAUACCGGAUAAGUCUUUACGGAGAAAGCUUUAUGCACCAUUGGAUGAGCCCGCACUUGAUUAGUUUGUUGGUAGGGUAAUGGCCUACCAAGACUAUGAUCAAUAGCUGAUUUGAGAGGAUGAUCAGCCACAUUGGGACUGAGACACGGCCCAAACUCCUACGGGAGGCAGCAGUGGGGAAUCUUGCACAAUGGAGGAAACUCUGAUGCAGCGAUGCCGCGUGAGUGAAGAAGGCCUUUGGGUUGUAAAGCUCUUUCGUCGGGGAAGAAAAUGACUGUACCCGAAUAAGAAGGUCCGGCUAACUUCGUGCCAGCAGCCGCGGUAAUACGAAGGGACCUAGCGUAGUUCGGAAUUACUGGGCUUAAAGAGUUCGUAGGUGGUUGAAAAAGUUGGUGGUGAAAUCCCAGAGCUUAACUCUGGAACCGCCAUCAA